rnacentral:rRNA from 1 species
UACGGAGGAUCCGAGCGUUAUCCGGAUUUAUUGGGUUUAAAGGGUGCGCAGGCGGGGGAUUAAGUCGGCGGUGAAAUUUUGCAGCUCAACUGUAAAAGUGCCUUCGAAACUGGUUUCCUUGAGUGUAGAUGAAGUAGGCGGAAUUUGUGGUGUAGCGGUGAAAUGCAUAGAUAUCACGAGGAACUCCGAUUGCGCAGGCAGCUUACUAAACCAUAACUGACGCUCAUGCACGAAGGCGUGGGGAUCAAACAGGAUUAGAUACCCCGGUAGU